rnacentral:rRNA from 1 species
GAUGAACGCUGGCGGCGUGCCUAAUACAUGCAAGUCGAGCGAAUGGAUUAAGAGCUUGCUCUUAUGAAGUUAGCGGCGGACGGGUGAGUAACACGUGGGUAACCUGCCCAUAAGACUGGGAUAACUCCGGGAAACCGGGGCUAAUACCGGAUAACAUUUUGAACCGCAUGGUUCGAAAUUGAAAGGCGGCUUCGGCUGUCACCUAUGGAUGGACCCGCGUCGCAUUAGCUAGUUGGUGAGGUAACGGAUCACCAAGGCAACGAUGCGUAGCCGACCUGAGAGGGUGAUCGGCCACACUGGGACUGAGACACGGCCCAGACUCCUACGGGAGGCAGCAGUAGGGAAUCUUCCGCAAUGGACGAAAGUCUGACGGAGCAACGCCGCGUGAGUGAUGAAGGCUUUCGGGUCGUAAAACUCUGUUGUUAGGGAAGAACAAGUGCUAGUUGAAUAAGCUGGCACCUUGACGGUACCUAACCAGAAAGCCACGGCUAACUACGUGCCAGCCGCCGCUGUAA